ACCUGGCUAGUUCAGUUGGUAGAGCAUGUGACUCUUGAUCUCAGGGUCGUGAGUUUGAGCCUCACGUUGGUA
rnacentral:tRNA from 1 species